rnacentral:lncRNA from 1 species
UUUGAUCAUGCUUUUAUGCAUUUUUAAGUUAAAAAAAAAGAUGGAGACGGGAAAAAGAAAGAAGAGGGCUGACUGUCGGCCCUCCUCUCGGCCUGAUUUCUAUGUUUACACCGGCGUCCUCGGAUGAGGAUGGCCGGACCUCCGGCCUGCAUCCCGCAGGGACAUCGCUGACGAUCUCAUCUUCGAAAGCCACCCACCAGUCAAACAAAAAAAAAAAGGAAAAGAGGAAGAAGCCACCGUAUCUUGUUCACCGACGGUUCUCCUCUCAAGAACCGGCAUAAAGGGCGAUUGGAGGCAUUGGAGAUAGUGGUGGUGCGUCGAUCCAGGCUUUUCCGGUGGCCGCCGACCGGUUUAGUGGGAGGAGACCACCAUUUUUAAAACCCCUCCGUUGAUCUUUAAUAGACCGGUCUUUCACCGGCAUACUCACCGAGAAAUCGAUGGAGGGCAAUGAGG